CUUAUAAUGGAUCACUCAGUCACAUCAACGCCCGAGUCUAUGCUGGGCGCUGACAGUGUUUGUGCAAAGUGGAUGCCAAGUGACUGCACAAUAAAGGUUUCUGAGUAGUUGAAAUAGCUAAGUCUUGAGUCAAUCAGUGCAUCUGGACCACAUUCAUGUGGCAAAUGCUGCUUUAUGGAGAGGUUUCUAACACUGGCCUGCAAUAAUAAUUCAGCCGAGGUCCUCUUGUGAAGAAACUUGCUGUGAUUAUGAGCUAAUAAUGCUUCCGAUAUUUCAGUCAGGAUACGCUUAGGCCAAGUACAGAACACACUGCCAUCACUAUGGAAAUUACCAGGAGAGAAGAUCAGAGAAUUAUUUCUACGUUUUAUGGCCUGCUUCAGAGGAGAAGGGGCAAGGGGAAGAUCACGUUUCUACUGUCUUCAGGAAAUGAGAAAAUGAAUCCAGGAAAUUUCCAUCUUUAAAUAUACUCUAUAAGUGUGCUGUCCAAUACUCACAUAGCUAUUGAGACCUGGAAUAUAACUAGUCUGAAUGGAGAUGUUCUCCUUUCUGUGAUUUAAGUUCUUUACACUGCUGAAGAGUCAUAUAAUUCUUUUUUCAAAGAAUUUUCCAGCUUUAUUGAGGUUUGACUUUCUUGGAGUCCACAUAUGUGAGAUCAUGCAGCAUUUGUUUUUCUGUGCCUGACUUAUUUCACUUAGCGUAAUGUCCUCCAGGCUCAUCCAGGUUGUUGCAAAUGGCAGGAUUUUCUUCUUUUUUAAGGCUUGGAGAGUCAUUUGUUUUCAUAAAAGAUUCACACCGCAGGUGAUGCCUUCUGCCAUGGGACGCCCCUCACCAGAUUCUGGUGCCGUGCUCUUGGACUUCCUAGCCUCCAGAACCACAAGCCAAAUACACUUUGGUUCUUUAUAAAUUAUCCAAUCUGUGAUAUUCUGUUAUAGCAGCAGGAAAUGAACUAGAACAUCGAGUCACUUCCCUAAUCUAGAAUAGCCAACUCUUUGCAAUUAUGAUCUUAUUAUUCAAUUUUUGAUUUUAGGAACUCUUUCUCCUUCCUACUCCUGAGGAUAAUAGCAUACAUUUUAGUCUUUUGCUUAUGAGAACAAGUAUACAUUAAUUUUUUUUCUUUUAAUGUUUUAUGACGUUUGUUAACUGGAGACCCCCUGAAGUGUGGCAAGAAAAACAUUAUCGCUCUAACUGUAGGGUGGUUGUAGCUACAUCCGAAUGAGGCACAUUUUGAAAAUGAGAUAGUAAUCCCCUACAAAUUCUUUGCUGGAGUUCUUAGAUCUGGAGAAGUAAUUUCAUCAUGCAUUGUGAUUAUUUGAGAAAGUCCUAUUGUGCCUUUUUAAGAUGACAGUGUGGAGCUGAUGGGGGGAAAAUAAGCAGGAACAGCUGGAGGCUUUGCAAGUGCUUUCAUGAGCAGGAUGUUCCAUGCCAGGAGGGAAUGCAUUUUACUGGAAUUUUUAAAUAAAAAUGUUCUACUUCUUGAA